rnacentral:tRNA from 1 species
ACUUAAGUAGUUUAAUUAUUUAAAAUAUUGAUUUGUGGUGUCAGUGAUGUAAAUUUUACCUUGAGUU